rnacentral:tRNA from 1 species
GCCGAAGUGGCGGAACUGGCAGACGCGCACGGUUCAGGGCCGUGUGAGAGUAAUCUCGUGUGGGUUCGACUCCCAUCUUCGGCA